AUGAACGCUGGCGGCGUGCCUAAUACCUGCCAGUCGAGCGAACAGACGAGGAGCUUGCUCCUCUGACGUUAGCGGCGGACGGGUAAGUAACACGUGGAUAACCUACCUAUAAGACUGGGAUAACUUCGGGAAACCGGAGCUAAUACCGGAUAAUAUAUUGAACCGCAUGGUUCAAUAGUGAAAGACGGUUUUGCUGUCACUUAUAGAUGGAUCCGCGCCGCAUUAGCUAGUUGGUAAGGUAACGGCUUACCAAGGCAACGAUGCGUAGCCGACCUGAGAGGGUGAUCGGCCACACUGGAACUGAGACACGGUCCAGACUCCUACGGGAGGCAGCAGUAGGGAAUCUUCCGCAAAGGGCGAAAGCCUGACGGAGCAACGCCGCGUGAGUGAUGAAGGUCUUCGGAUCGUAAAACUCUGUUAUUAGGGAAGAACAAAUGUGUAAGUAACUAUGCACGUCUUGACGGUACCUAAUCAGAAAGCCACGGCUAACUACGUG
rnacentral:rRNA from 1 species